AAAGGGACGUGCUAUUGCCUGAUAGUCGACGUCGAAGUUACGUACAAACGUCGUGUGGUGAUACCUUUAUAAAACUCCCGAGUUUUUAGCAGAAGAGCUCACAUUUUUCCUUUUUUCAAUCGACAAACUUUUGAAAUGUAUAUCGACUCAAUGGAGGUGACCAGUUCUAAACACAUGGAGGCCGUACGGUUAACCUUGACGCCCGCAACCAAGCUACGGUGGACUCAGCUUCGCGUUGCCGCCGAGGAGGACGAGGCCUCCGGACAGUGUCGACGCAGCGUCGCCGGUGUCAAGUCGACAAGCACCAGGAAACGAAACGGACGGGACCGUCGUCGAAAGUUGACCAACGGCCCUUACAACGCGGAACCGAGAGAGGAGCGACGAACCGCAAGACGACUUCACCCUGGAGCAAUGGCACCGGAGAACACAACGCAGUACUUGAUACGCGAGCAUGCAGACAACAUGGCGCCCAAUUGCGUUAACCCAGAGAACGAAACCCCCGCCUCGCUCGAAGGACUUUGAGGAAAUAUAUGGCUCGUGUUGGUAGCACCGAGGACGGAAUGACGAAGCAGCAGCAACUUUUCCCCACUCUGUCGGAAAAGUGGGCGCCCAGUAGGGAGUGCUCUUCCCCCUCGCAAAAGCCUCCCCCCGCGCCGGCCCCCCUCGACGAGCGAGCGGAGCAAAAGGGCACCCGAGCUGGCGGUGUGGCCACUGCUUGCAAAGUCAGGUAACCAAGCCACCAAGGGCAGGUAUUGUUGCACUACUUUGUCCUUGAAUGGUGCCAUGCAACCUGUCACACUGUGUGAGCGUUUUCCAGGUCAGCCCUGCCUGCCUGCCUGCCCACCUGGGGACUACAGGCUCUGCUGCGGGGAGACCCAGGAGCUCCUGAGAGGUGACUUUUAGAGUGCAAUCGAAGACAUUUUAUUAUAAACUCGAUGACGAGAGUCGCGGGAUCGGGUUCGUCCUGUAAAUACACGCGGCGUGGAUUUUUGUUACUGAAGAUUAAUCAUGUGUUAAUGGAAAUUAAUCAUGUGUGCUGUUCAAAAUAAAAGGAAAUUAUGUAAACUGGAAA